UCAAUAUAUGAAUCUAGCCUAUUUCAUAUAGUAAACUUAAAAAUUGGCCAGUCAAAUAAAAACUUUAAAAUUUGGCCAGAUUUUAUGUAAAAGUACAAUUUUACCCUUAACAUAAAAACUAAAAAAAUGGCCACUCACCCUCCCUGCCUCUCUCUCUCUCUCACGCUCAUUCUCUUCAUCAUCUCUCUCUCUCUCUCACGCAUCCUCUCCUCUCCUCUCUCUCUCUCCACCGAUCUAUCUCCACCGAUCUCCAUCGAGAAACGCCGCCGUCUAUCUCCACCGAUUUCCAUCGACGUCGCCGCCUAUCUUCACUGUCUUCAUCUCCAUCGAUGCCGCCGCCUUCAUCUCCAUCGAUGUCGCCGUCUAUCUUCACCGCCUUCAUCUCCAUCGCCGCCGCCGUCAAUCUCCACCGCCUUCAUCUCCGCCGCCGCCUUAAUCCUUAGGUUGCUGGUUCAAAUCCGGCAGUGGUUGUGGGUGGAUAUUGCAGAUCUAGGGUUCCAGACAUCCAGGCGUGGUAGAUCUAGGGUUCCAGGCGGCUUGGGGCCUGAAAUCCGAAGCGCCGCCGCCUCGGCCUCGUCGCCUCCGCCAUCUCCUGCUUCGUCCCCUGCCGCGAAGCGCCGCCGCCCCCGGCCUCGUCGCCUCUGCCAUCUUCUGCUUCGCCCGCUCGCUUCGACUCUCUGGAAGAGCUGUCGAUCUGAGCUUGAAAUCGAACAAUGACCGGAAAAUGGACAGCGCCGAUGAGAAGGUGGUCGCAGUGAUCUUGGUGGCAGGUCCUAGUAAAGGGACUCGAUUUAGGCCGCUUUCUUUCAAUACUCCAGAGCCUUUAUUUCCUCUGGCUGGUCAGCCAAUGGUUCAUCACCACAUCUCCGCCUGCAAAAGAGUAUGUUUCAAUUGUUUUGGAAGAAAAUGAUUAUUUCUCAUUUCAUUGGUUUGCGAAUGUGGUGAGUUUCUGGUUUGCUAUUGAAGCGUGCAGAAGUUGCUUUUGUGAAUGUGGCAUCUUCCAUUUGUGUUGCAAAUUUACAAUUUGUUAAGCUGGAAGACAAGAGUGUUGUUUUAAUAAUUGAUAGUGUGCAGAUGCCCAAUUUGGUCCAAGUUUUUCUUAUAGGAUACUACGACGAGCGGGAAUUUUGGAAUUGGAGUUUGGAUUUGAAAAAAUGACAUGUUUCUGGUCACAAGAUUUUGGAAUAUUAUUGAUUGCCGCUAAUCUGCAAUGAAAUGAUGAUUGUUUGAGGCAAGUGAUGAAUGGCUUUGGAGUUGAGAGAGCCAACGCAUAAUUAGUUGCCAUGUUGUGUGUUUUUGAAGCCCUGUGUUGUAAUUUUGAGGAUUAUUCAUGUAGCUUCAAUUCAAUUGGAGGCAUGUUUUUUUGUUGAUAAUAUAUUGUUGUAUUUUGAUUGUUGAUUUAGAGGAAUUGAUGUAUUUUGAUGGUGGAUUGAGUUGUUGUAUUUUGGUGUUGUACAACAAUUUUUUUAAUGUUCUUAAAUUCACAACCAAAUUUAUGAAUU